ensembl:snRNA U6 U6 spliceosomal RNA
GUGCUUGCUUUGGCAGCACAUAUACUAAAAUUGGAAUGAUACAGAGAAGAUUCGCAUGGUCCCUGUGCAAGGAUGGCAUGCAAAUUCAUGAAGCGUUCCAUAUUUAA